rnacentral:rRNA from 1 species
GAUGAACGCUGGCGGCGUGCUUAACACAUGCAAGUCGAACGGGAUCCCAGGAGCUUGCUCCUGGGUGAGAGUGGCGAACGGGUGAGUAAUGCGUGGCCGACCUGCCCCAUACACCGGAAUAGCUCCUGGAAACGGGUGGUAAUGCCGGAUGCUCCAGUUGACCGCAUGGUCCUCUGGGAAAGCUUUUGCGGUAUGGGAUGGGGUCGCGUCCUAUCAGCUUGAUGGCGGGGUAACGGCCCACCAUGGCUUCGACGGGUAGCCGGCCUGAGAGGGCGACCGGCCACAUUGGGACUGAGAUACGGCCCAGACUCCUACGGGAGGCAGCAGUGGGGAAUAUUGCACAAUGGGCGCAAGCCUGAUGCAGCGACGCCGCGUGCGGGAUGACGGCCUUCGGGUUGUAAACCGCUUUUGACUGGGAGCAAGCCCUUCGGGGUGAGUGUAC